rnacentral:rRNA from 1 species
UACCAGCACCCCGAGUGGUCGGGACGUUUUAUUGGGCCUAAAGCAUCCGUAGCCGGUUCUACAAGUCUUCCGUUAAAUCCACCUGCUUAACAGAUGGGCUGCGGAAGAUACUAUAGAGCUAGGAGGCGGGAGAGGCAAGCGGUACUCGAUGGGUAGGGGUAAAAUCCGUUGAUCCAUUGAAGACCACCAGUGGCGAAGGUGGCUUGCCAGAACGCGCUCGACGGUGAGGGAUGAAAGCUGGGGGGAGCAAACCGGG